rnacentral:rRNA from 1 species
GACGAACGCUGGCGGCGUGCUUAACACAUGCAAGUCGAACGGAAAGGCCCUGCUUUUGUGGGGUGCUCGAGUGGCGAACGGGUGAGUAACACGUGAGUAACCUGCCCUUGACUUUGGGAUAACUUCAGGAAACUGGGGCUAAUACCGGAUAGGAGCUCCUGCUGCAUGGUGGGGGUUGGAGAGUUUCGGCGGUUGGGGAUGGACUCGCGGCUUAUCAGCUUGUUGGUGGGGUAGUGGCUUACCAAGGCUUUGACGGGUAGCCGGCCUGAGAGGGUGACCGGCCACAUUGGGACUGAGACACGGCCCAGACUCCUACGGGAGGCAGCAGUGGGGAAUAUUGCACAAUGGGCGGAAGCCUGAUGCAGCAACGCCGCGUGCGGGAUGACGGCCUUCGGGUUGUAAACCGCUUUCGCCUGUGACGAAGCGUGAGUGACGGUAAUGGGUAAAGAAGCACCGGCUAACUACGUG